rnacentral:rRNA from 1 species
GAUGAACGCUGGCGGCGUGCUUAACACAUGCAAGUCGAACGUGAGAAUAGCAAUAUUUGAAAGUGGCAAACGGGUGAGUAACACGUGGGAACCUGCCUCGAAGUGGGGGAUAACGAUUGGAAACGGUCGCUAAUACCGCACGGUUCUGCUCUGAUGGGAAUGGAGCAGAUAAAGAUUUAUCGCUUUGAGAGGGGCCCGCGGCCGAUUAGCUAGUUGGUAAGGUAAAGGCUUACCAAGGCGAUUAUCGGUAGCUGGUCUGAGAGGACGAUCAGCCACACGGGAACUGAGACACGGUCCCGACUCCUACGGGGGGCAGCAGUGGGGAAUAUUGGACAAUGGGCGAAAGCCUGAUCCAGCCAUGCCGCGUGAGUGAUGAAGGCCCUAGGGUUGUAAAGCUCUUUCACCGGUGAAGAUAAUGACGGUAACCGGAGAAGAAGCCCCGGCUAACUUCGUG